GACGAACGCUGGCGGCGUGCCUAAUACAUGCAAGUAGAACGCUGAAGGAGGAGCUUGCUUCUCUUGAUGAGUUGCGAACGGGUGAGUAACGCGUAGGUAACCUGCCUGGUAGCGGGGGAUAACUAUUGGAAACGAUAGCUAAUACCGCAUAAGAGUAGAUGUUGCAUGACAUUUGCUUAAAAGGUGCAAUUGCAUCACUACCAGAUGGACCUGCGUUGUAUUAGCUAGUUGGUGGGGUAACGGCUCACCAAGGCGACGAUACAUAACCGACCUCAGAGGGUGAUCGGCCAAGCUGGGACUGAGACACGGCCCAGACUCCUACGGGAGGCAGCAGUAGGGAAUCUUCGGCAAUGGACGGAAGUCUGACCGAGCAACGCCGCGUGAGGGAAGAAGGUUUUCGGAUCGUAAAGCUCUGUUGUAAGAGAAGAACGAGUGUGAGAGUGGAAAGUUCACACUGUGACGGUAUCUUACCAGAAAGGGACGGCUAACUACGUG
rnacentral:rRNA from 1 species